rnacentral:rRNA from 1 species
AUUGAACGCUGGCGGCAUGCUUUACACAUGCAAGUCGAACGGUAACAGGUUAAGCUGACGAGUGGCGAACGGGUGAGUAAUGCAUCGGAACGUGCCCGGUCGUGGGGGAUAACGCAGCGAAAGCUGCGCUAAUACCGCAUACGAUCUGAGGAUGAAAGCGGGGGACCGUAAGGCCUCGCGCGAUCGGAGCGGCCGAUGUCAGAUUAGGUAGUUGGUGGGGUAAAGGCUCACCAAGCCGACGAUCUGUAGCUGGUCUGAGAGGACGACCAGCCACACUGGGACUGAGACACGGCCCAGACUCCUACGGGAGGCAGCAGUGGGGAAUUUUGGACAAUGGGCGCAAGCCUGAUCCAGCAAUGCCGCGUGCAGGAAGAAGGCCUUCGGGUUGGUAAACUGCUUUGUACGGAGCGAAAAGGUCUUCCCUAAUACGGGAGGCUGAUGACGGUACCGUAAGAAUAAGCACCGGCUAACUACGUGCCAGCAGCCGC